ACCUUCUUCCUUUCCAAGUGCUAUAUAAUCCAGUAACACCGAAUAUUGUUCUUCUUACCAGACUCCAAGAAUUUUAACUCACCAUCCCAAUGCUUGUAAUAUUGUUUUUCUUAUUCUCUUAGUCUUGGCACCCCUGGCUUAUUUCAAAUCUCAGCUCAAGCCCUGCCUUCUGCAAGAAAACUUUCCCAGAGUCAUCACAGUCGAAUGGGGCAGGACAAAAGUCAAGAUGACUGGCAGUGGCCAUGAUGUUGUGGAUGACCUUGGCAUUUCCAGUGCCUGACCAGAUUCUAAGUGUUCCACAGCACCUGAUUCAGUACCUUCAUGUCUAACUAUAUAUAUAAAUAACACUCUAAAUUUAACAAACUUUCCUCUGAGCAUCUCUCUGAUUUUGGCUAUCUGGCUAUUAAAUUCAUUUUGCUGGAUAGUCUUUGAGAAGUUGCAUGAUUUGUCUGGGAUCUCACUGUUAGGAAGUAUCUGCCAUGCUGCCUUUGUGUUUUGAUGUGGUGUAGCACAGACGUUUAUUCAGGCUGGUUCUAAGGUCUAGUCCAUAGUGUUCUGAUUCAGGCAGAGUAGGACAAAAAUAGAAACCACACAGGAGGUGAGAGUGCCCUUGCUGUCUUCUUGAGGCAACUUAUGGCCAAAGAGAAAAGGUAUGUGGUAAUGGGAAUAUAAG
ensembl:lncRNA